GACGAACGCUGGCGGCGUGCUUAACACAUGCAAGUCGAACGGUAAGGCCCUUCGGGGUACACGAGUGGCGAACGGGUGAGUAACACGUGGGUGAUCUGCCCUGCACUUCGGGAUAAGCCUGGGAAACUGGGUCUAAUACCGGAUAGGACCACUGCCUGCAUGGGUGGUGGUGGAAAGCUUUUGCGGUGUGGGAUGGGCCCGCGGCCUAUCAGCUUGUUGGUGGGGUGAUGGCCUACCAAGGCGACGACGGGUAGCCGGCCUGAGGGGGUGACCGGCCACACUGGGACUGAGAUACGGCCCAGACUCCUACGGGAGGCAGCAGUGGGGAAUAUUGCACAAUGGGCGCAAGCCUGAUGCAGCGACGCCGCGUGAGGGAUGACGGCCUUCGGGUUGUAAACCCCUUUCAGCACCGACGAAGCGCAAGUGACGGUAGGUGCAGAAGAAGGACCGGCCAACUACGUGCCAGCAGCCGCCGUAA
rnacentral:rRNA from 1 species